UUUCCGUAGGUGAACCUGCGGAAGGAUCAUUACAGAGUUCAUGCCCUCACGGGUAGAUCUCCCACCCUUGAAUAUUUAUACCUUAGUUGCUUUGGCAGGCCGUGGAAACACCAUGGGCUCCGGCUUAUGCGUGCCUACCAGAGGAAACAAACUCUGUUUUUAGUGAUGUCUGAGUACUAUAUAAUAGUUAAAACUUUCAACAACGGAUCUCUUGGUUCUG
rnacentral:misc_RNA from 1 species